AUGGGGACUUGUGACCUUACUGAGACAUACCAGCCAGGAUCUGAGGGUCGUGCAGCUGUGGCCAAUGAGGAUAGCAAAGUGAGCACAGGAUCUGACUUGGAUGACCUGAGAUGUGACAUCCAGAGUCCAGUACCUGAACUCCUUUAUUACAGAGACGCUGAUGACCAUGAAAACCUUGUGAAUCAAAGUGAAGGAAGUGCUGAGCAAAUGACAGUUUUAUCACCGAACGCCAGUGGAACUCAGGACUGGCCGUAUGCCAGUCCUCCGAUGCCAGUAACAGUGGUUUAUAGUCCCCCAGCAGCCACAGUAGCCACGAGCCAAGACUUCAGUUAUCAUAGCACAGAUAGUGCUGAAGUCAGAACUGCCUUGCCACAUUGUCCUCCAAGUAAUCUGCCGUCAGCAGCAGAGGGGGCUGGCUCGUCAUCUGAAGCUGCGAUGAUGGAGGGUCAGAUGCUGGAGGUCGACAUCAGUCAUCAAGGACAAAAUCAUCAAAGUGUACCCCAGGGUUUAGAGACCCCUGAGCAGACAACUGAGCCUCCUAAACAAAGCGCUAAGACGGGAUGGUUUAGUGGCUGGUUUAAAUCCAAACCAAAGGAUGUUCAACAGGAGAGCUCAGAGCCGGGAGGCUCAGCUCAGACAGUAAGAUUUAAGUACAUGUAUACUGUGCUUUUACUGUAG
rnacentral:lncRNA from 1 species